AUGUGGCUGUAGAGAACGACCCCUACACGCGUCACCUCUGGACUGACUGACACGUGGUCGAUCAAGUUCUUCUCACCGGGGGUCCUGUAACUCCUGGUUCUCCCGGGCUUCCUCUGUCCCCUUUGCGUCCUUGUGCUCCUGGUAACCCGCGAUCCCCCUACAAACAGAGCAGUUCAUCACAAAGAAGAUAAGUCAUGCAAGUUUGGAACAACCUGAGGGUGAGUAAAUGAUGAUAUUUUUCAUUUUGGUUGAAGGAUUCCUUUAAUGCAAACUUUACAAAAUAUGAAUGCAUGACAGUGGCUAUAAGAGUCUCC